CCGAGUUUACACUCAUAACCCUUUGUGAACAUUAUAACUUGUUGCUUCGGCGGCUUCUUCGGGAGGCCCGCCGGCGUUUCAGUAUCUCUGUUGUACCCGACGAUACAUCUGAGUGUUCUUAGCGAACUAUAA
rnacentral:misc_RNA from 1 species